CCCAAAAUCUAGCCCAAAUAACUCGUAUACCCCAACCUCAACUUAGCCCAAUAAUAAAACAUUUUUACAUUAUAGUACAGGUGAUAGAAAAAUUACUAGGCGCCUUAGAUGAAGUACCGCAAGGGAAUGAUGAAAUAGAAAUGAAAAACCCACAAGCCUAAAAUAGCAGAGACUUCCCCUCGUACCUUUCGCAUCAUGGUYUGACCAGUCCAAGUCAGGCAAAACGAAUUUUAGUCUGACCCCCCGAAACUAGGCGAGCUACUUAAGAACAGCCAAGAGCCAACCCGUCUCUGUCGCAAAAGAGUGGGAAGAUUUUUAAGUAGAGGCGACAAACCUAACGAGCUUAGAGAUAGCUGGUUAUCCAGGAAAAGAGUUUGAGCUCUACCUUAAAUUUUAUCAUUACAUUUAGAAUUUUUUUAAAAAAAAGACAAAUUUAAGAGCUAUUCAAAUAAGGCACAGCUUAUUUGAAACGGGAUACAACCCCUAACACUGGGUUAACCACAGCACUUAAACAAAGUGGGCCUAAGAGCAGCCACCUUCCGAAAAGCGUUAAAGCUUAAAUAACAAAUCACUAAUUUCGCAACCAAAAUUUAACCCUUCAUCUAUACUGGAUUAUUUUAUACAUUUAUAAAAGUCAUUAUGUUAGAACUAGUAACAAGAAAUUGCUUUUCUCCAAAAUGCACGUUUGAACCAAAUAGGACCAACCAUUGGACUUUAACACAAAUUAUAAUCUAUAACACCACACAACCAGAGUACCUUAAAAAUUUUAGUGUCAAUCUAACACCAGAGCAUUACAGGAAAGAUUAAAAGAGAAAGAAGGAACUCGGCAAAUUUUAGUCCCGCCUGUUUACCAAAAACAUCGCCUCCUGGCCAAAUAUAGGAGGUCCAGCCUGCCCAGUGACAAAAUUCAACGGCCGCGGUACCCUAACCGUGCGAAGGUAGCAUAAUCACUUGUUCUUUAAAUGGGGACUAGUAUAAACGGCAUCACGAGGACUACACUGUCUCCUUUUUCCAAUCAGUGAAACUGAUCUCCCCGUGAAGAAGCUGGGAUAUUUACAUAAGACGAGAAGACCCCAUGGAGCUUUAAACCCAAUGCAUAAUUCAAUCCACUAAACCACCAAAACCCAAGAAACCUAUGCAUCGGUUUUAGGUUGGGGUGACCGCGGAGUAAAACCUAACCUCCGCAACAAACGGGCUAACGCCAUGAUCUAUGAACCACAAUUCUAAGAGCCAACAAAUUGUUGCCCAAUGACCCAAUUAAUUGAUCAAUGAACCAAGUUACCCUGGGGAUAACAGCGCAAUCUACUUCAAGAGCCCCUAUCGACAAGCAGGUUUACGACCUCGAUGUUGGAUCAGGGUAUCCCAGUGGCGCAGCCGCUAC
rnacentral:rRNA from 1 species